rnacentral:rRNA from 1 species
UCAACCGAGAUUCCGCAAGUAGUGGCGAGCGAACGCGGAAAAGCCUGUAUAUGAUAAUGGUUAAGAUAGAAGAAGGGAUUGGAAACUUCCGCCAUAGUGGGUGAUAGCCCCGUAUUUGAAAUCUUAACCAUGGUACUAAGUAUACGAGAAGUAGGGCGGGACACGUGAAAUUCUGUCUGAAUAUGGGGGGACCAUCCUCCAAGGCUAAAUACUCAUCAUCGACCGAUAGUGAACCAGUACCGUGAGGGAAAGGCGAAAAGAACCCCGGAAGGGGAGUGAAAUAGAACCUGAAACCUGAUGCAUACAUACAGUGGGAGCAUCUUUGUGGUGUGACUGCGUACCUUUUGUAUAAUGGGUCAACGACUUACAUUCAGUAGCGAGCUUAACCGAGUAGGGGAGGCGUAGGGAAACCGAGUCUUAAUAGGGCGACUAGUUGCUGGGUGUAGACCCGAAACCGAGUGAUCUAUCCAUGGCCAGGAUGAAGGUGCGGUAAAACGCAUUGGAGGUCCGAACCCACGCAUGUUGCAAAAUGCGGGGAUGAGCUGUGGAUAGGGGUGAAAGGCUAAACAAACUCGGAGAUAGCUGGUUCUCCCCGAAAACUAUUUAGGUAGUGCCUCGAGUAUGAGACUGAUGGGGGUAAAGCACUGUUAUGGCUAGGGGGUUAUUGCAACUUACCAACCCAUGGCAAACUAAGAAUACCAUCAAGUUGCUCCUCGGGAGACAGACAUCGGGUGCUAACGUCCGGUGUCAAGAGGGAAACAACCCAGACCGCCAGCUAAGGUCCCAAAUGAUAGAUUAAGUGGUAAACGAAGUGGGAAGGCACAGACAGCCAGGAUGUUGGCUUAGAAGCAGCCAUCAUUUAAAGAAAGCGUAAUAGCUCACUGGUCGAGUCUUCCUGCGCGGAAGAUGUAACGGGGCUCAAAUCUAUAACCGAAGCUGCGGAUAUACUUUUGUAUAUGGUAGGGGAGCGUUCUGUAAGCCUGUGAAGGUGACUUGUAAAGGUUGCUGGAGGUAUCAGAAGUGCGAAUGUUGACAUGAGUAGCGAUAAAGCGGGUGAAAAGCCCGCUCGCCGAAAGCCCAAGGUUUCCUACGCAACGUUCAUCGGCGUAGGGUGAGUCGGCCCCUAAGGCGAGGCAGAAAUGCGUAGUCGAUGGGAAACAGGUUAAUAUUCCUGUACUUUGAUUCAAUGCGAUGUGGGGACGGAGAAGGUUAGGUUAGCAAACUGUUGGAAUAGUUUGUUUAAGCCAGUAGGUGGAAAGAGUAGGCAAAUCCGCUCUUUCUUAACACCGAGACGUGAUGACGAGUGUCUACGGACAUGAAGUGACCAAUACCACGCUUCCAGGAAAAGCCACUAAGCUUCAGUUGAAUCAGAACCGUACCGCAAACCGACACAGGUGGGCAGGAUGAGAAUUCUAAGGCGCUUGAGAGAACUCGGGAGAAGGAACUCGGCAAAUUGAUACCGUAACUUCGGGAGAAGGUAUGCCCUCUAAUGUUAAGGACUUGCUCCGUAAGCAUCUGAGGGUCGCAGAGAAUCGGUGGCUGCGACUGUUUAUUAAAAACACAGCACUCUGCUAACACGAAAGUGGACGUAUAGGGUGUGACGCCUGCCCGGUGCUGGAAGGUUAAUUGAAGAUGUGCAAGCAUCGGAUCGAAGCCCCAGUAAACGGCGGCCGUAACUAUAACGGUCCUAAGGUAGCGAAAUUCCUUGUCGGGUAAGUUCCGACCCGCACGAAUGGCGUAACGAUGGCCACACUGUCUCCUCCCGAGACUCAGCGAAGUUGAAAUGGUUGUGAAGAUGCAAUCUCCCCGCUGCUAGACGGAAAGACCCCGUGAACCUUUACUGUAGCUUUGCAUUGGACUUUGAAGUCACUUGUGUAGGAUAGGUGGGAGGCUUUGAAGCAGAGACGCCAGUCUCUGUGGAGCUGUC